GACGAACGCUGGCGGCAGGCCUAACACAUGCAAGUCGAACGAGUGGCGGACGGGUGAGUAAUGUCUGUGAAACUGCCUGAUGGAGGGGGAUAACUACUGGAAACGGUAGCUAAUCCCGCAUACCAUCGGAUGUGCCCAGAUGGGAUUAGCUAGUAGGUGGGGUAAAGGCUCACCUAGGCGAAGAUCCCUAGCUGGUCUGAGAGGAUGACCAGCCAGACUGGAACUGAGACACGGCCAAGACUCCUACGGGAGGAAGAAUGGGGGAAUAUUGCAAAAUGGGCGCAAGCCUGAGGCGGCCAUGCGGCGGGUAUGAAGAAGGCCUCCGGGUUGUAAAGUACUUUCAGCGGGGAGGCGUUACCUGCAGAAGAAGCACCGGCUAACUCCGUGCCAGCAGCCGCGGUAAUUC
rnacentral:rRNA from 1 species